GAUGAAGAACGCAGCGAAAUGCGAUACGUAAUGUGAAUUGCAGAAUUCAGUGAAUCAUCGAAUCUUUGAACGCAUAUUGCGCUCUCUGGUAUUCCGGAGAGCAUGCUUGUUUGAGUAUCAGUAAACACCUCAACUCCCUUUCUUCUUGAAAUGGAGCUGGACUUGAGUGAUCCCAACGCUUUAUUCAUAAAGUGGCGGGUUACUUGAAAUGCAGGUGCAGCUGGACUUUUCUCUGAGCUAUAAGCAUAUCUAUUUAGUCUGCCUCAAAACAGAUUAUUACCUUUGCUGCAGCUAACAUAAAGGAGAUUAGUUCUUGUGCUGACUGAUGCAGGAUUCACAAAGACCGCUUCGGCUGUCUUUGUAAACUCGGUCUCAAAUCAAGUAAGACUACCCGCUGAACUUAAGCAUAUCAAUAAGCGGAGGA
rnacentral:misc_RNA from 1 species